GGGUGACGACUGAGUGCACUGAGUGCGUGCCGCGUGUGUCGGAUUGUGCUUGUGGUGUUGGUGCCGAUUCUGCGUUUGACUGAAGUCGAAUUCAGUCAGUCGUCUUCGAACUGAUCGCUUCUUAGCGUGUCUUUUGAUCUGACUUCUGCGGAAGUGUGCGAUCAAGGUGCGAUCGUUCACCCGGAGCCACAGAAACAGGACGAAGUUCGGUGCGAAAUCCUGAGACCAGCGAACCACGAGCACGUUUAGUGACUGCACUGGCCGAAGUGUCAGCAAGGGUGGACGAACGACUGCGAUAACUGGCGACAUCGUCACGAAAUCUGCUUUGAGGUUGCCAGAAGGGAUCAAUGGAACGGGAGAAGGGCGAGAACAAGAGCCGGCGCCGCGGAGUCCAGACAGUUGGCGCUGUCGACACAUCCCUGACACGGUGACCAUGUCGCCAUGAUGCAACUGGAACUGUGCCCCGCGCAGAGCGGCCGCCUGGCGCCCGGUCAGGGUGGCGAGAGUUACCUUAGCACUUGGAGCUGUACAUACUACAUAGGUCUGUAGAUACCUGUACAUACCUGUACCAGCUGAUGGCACCUGUCGAGCUGAAGACAUGAUGCGGUGUGGUUCACUUGUCAAUUUGUAGAGUGAUAGUUGGUAGUCGAUGAUAAGAUGAAAACGGACGAAAAGGCGGCAUCAUAAGUGGUUAGGCGUU